rnacentral:tRNA from 1 species
GGAGAAAUACUCAAUAGGCCGAAGAGGCGCCCCUGCUAAGGGUGUAGGUCGGGCAACCGGCGCGAGGGUUCAAAUCCCUCUUUCUCCG